AUACGGAGGGUGCAAGCGUUACUCCGAAUCACUGGGCGUAAAGCGCGCGCAGGCGGCUAUUUAAGUUGGAUGUGAAAGCCUACGGCUCAACCGUAGAACUGCAUCCAAAACUAUUUAGCUAGAGUGUGGGAGAGGAAGAUGGAAUUAGUUGUGUAGGGGUAAAAUCCGUAGAGAUAACUAGGAAUACCAAAAGCGAAGGCAAUCUUCUGGAACACUACUGACGCUGAGGCGCGAAAGCGUGGGGAGCAAACAGGAUUAGAAACCCUAGUAGUCC
rnacentral:rRNA from 1 species